CCUACGGGUGGCAGCAGUCGAGAAUCAUUCACAAUGGGGGAAACCCUGAUGGUGCGACGCCGCGUGGGGGAAUGAAGGUCUUCGGAUUGUAAACCCCUGUCAUGUGGGAGCAAAUUAAAAAGAUCGUACCACAAGAGGAAGAGACGGCUAACUCUGUGCCAGCAGCCGCGGUAAUACAGAGGUCUCAAGCGUUGUUCGGAAUCACUGGGCGUAAGGCGUGCGUAGGCUGUUUCGUAAGUCGUGUGUGAAAGGCGCGGGCUCAACCCGCGGACGGCACAUGAUACUGCGAGACUAGAGUAAUGGAGGGGGAACCGGAAUUCUCGGGGUAGCAGUGAAAUGCGUAGAUAUCGAGAGGAACACUCGUGGCGAAGGCGGGUUCCUGGACAUUAACUGACGCUGAGGCACGAAGGCCAGGGGAGCGAAAGGGAUUAGAUACCCGGGUAGUC
rnacentral:rRNA from 1 species